rnacentral:tRNA from 1 species
CUUUAAUUAACUUAUUUAUAAAGUAUAUGAUUCUUGAUCAUAAAAAAGUGGAGAAUUACCACUAUUAAAGA